rnacentral:lncRNA from 1 species
GCUGGGUGGGGGUGGGACGUGGGCAGAGCCGCAGGCACAAGUGGGUGUCAUUCCUGCAGAACCAGCACUGGAGAAGGGCUGCCUUUGGUUUCGGGAGCUACUCCCAGAUGGCCUCGAGCAGGAAAAUGUGCCGCAGCUCCUGAAAAAUCUGGUCCCUGGGGCGUGGGACACACGCAAAGCUGCCCAAGAGCCGUGUCCGAGUGCUGCAGCGUUCCUAAGUGAUGAGCGGCCACAAGGACCACGUCCGUGCUGCAGUUCGUUAAGACGGCUCGACCUCUGGGGAGAGGAGAAAGGAAAGGACCAGCAGUUGUGGACUGCUUGAGUUUCCCGGCGAGCAGCUUUGUCUGGGUCACCAGCCUGUUCCUUAUGGGAGGGCAGAGCAUCUUCACUGAGAUGCCCUAAACAUGAGCACAGGGAGAACAGUGACGCCCCCAGGUAAGUCCAGAUGCUGGGAGCCAAAAUGCUAAGUGUCCACUGUGGCUCAUGUGACUCGAGCCUCCGUCCCCCCACCACCUGCCCAAUGCUGUCCUCCUGUCUUAGGUUUCCUUAGUUAAGCUGCCACCUCUGCCAGCUGGAUAAGAAGUUACUGUCAGUUCCAAGUCAGCUGACCCAGGUUGUUUAUCUGAAGUCAG